CAUUGUGAGAUAGCUUCAGGUUGGUGGAGAUGGCUGACAAGUUGGGGCAGAAGCUGGAAGGGCAGAGAAGGAGGUGCUGAGGAGUGAUGAGGCUGCUCGGGGACCAGGAGGCUGCUCCGGGACCCCAGGUCCCCACUCACCCCAAGGACCCUCAUCUUCCACGGGGCUACUCACAACUUCUCCGCCGUCACACCGAGGAUGAUGAACAGAGAGUGACAGCCAGAGGCAGCAGCCGGGGAGGGAAGACACAGAAGACCCCAUCGAGGUAGUCGAGGAAGCCCCCCUCGAGGCGGCAGUCAGGGUUGCUCCGGACGAAGUGGCACCACUCGGAGCUGUUCUCUUUCCGCACCUCCCGGCACUGCGGGGCAGAGCGGGGGGUGCUCGACCGGACACCCCAAGUCCUGUCCUCACCUCGCCCCAGCAUCCACCACCCUCCCGUGGGCGCUGCCGUCGGACACGCCACGAGUGACACUGCUCCUUUGCUGAGCUACUGUCGGGCCUCGCACAGCUCCCCACCCAGCCCCGGCCGUGAGAAGCCUCCUGGCAGGCGGGCAGGGGUUUGGAGGAGAGAAGCGGCAGCACAGGAAAUCCUGGUGAGAUCCCAACUGUGACGGCGAGCACUGGGACAACUGGCACCGGACAGGACGGGACGGGACUCCACCACCGCGGCAGCACCCACAUCCCUCCCACCGCCCCCCCCCCCCAAACCCCACCACAGCCCCCAAACUCACAUCCUGGCCCCGGCUGUGGCUCAGAGCAUCCUUCCCGGGUAGCACCGUGUGCCCCAGGUCCAGCGGCGGCGGGAUCCCGGCUGGCUGCACCCCGCUGUUCCCCGCCAGCACCCCGGCCAGGCUCAGCACCCCGGCCAGGCUCAGCACCCCGGCCGACCCCAGGACACCCUGCCCCAUGGCUAGGAGGGGUAGGGAGGGCACCUACUGCUGGCAGCAAGUCCCGGAAAGGAGGAGCAGGGACAAAUCCCGGGCCCCCCCCAUCCCGCGAUCCCCCGGGCAAGGCGGCGGGCAGGUAAGAAAAUAAAUAAUUUAAAAUGCAAA